AUGGCAUCCUACAAGACUCUCUUUUUAACCAUUUUGAUUAUUUGCAUUGCUUCAGGCAUGGUUGCCGUUUCAGGAGCAGGCGGAAAAUUAUGCUUCAUAUCGAAUUUUUGUCCAACUGCACCAGAACAGUGUGACCAUUUUUGUAAAGGAUCAUUGGGCAAACCAGGUGGCUCGUGUUUAGGGGGUGAAUGUUGUUGCAAUUUGUAAAGUUUGAAUACAAAAUAAACAAUUUCUUUGCUUGUUUC